GGGUUGUGAGGUUAAGCGACUAAGCGUACACGGUGGAUGCCCUGGCAGUCAGAGGCGAUGAAGGACGUGCUAAUCUGCGAAAAGCGUCGGUAAGGUGAUAUGAACCGUUAUAACCGGCGAUGUCCGAAUGGGGAAACCCAGUGUGAUUCGUCACACUAUCGUUAACUGAAUACAUAGGUUAACGAGGCGAACCGGGGGAACUGAAACAUCUAAGUACCCCGAGGAAAAGAAAUCAACCGAGAUUCCCCCAGUAGCGGCGAGCGAACGGGGAGCAGCCCAGAGUCUGAAUCAGCUUGUGUGUUAGUGGAACGGUCUGGAAAGUCCGACGGUACAGGGUGAUAGUCCCGUACACCAAAAUGCACAGGUUGUGAACUCGAAGAGUAGGGCGGGACACGUGGUAUCCUGUCUGAAUAUGGGGGGACCAUCCUCCAAGGCUAAAUACUCCUGACUGACCGAUAGUGAACCAGUACCGUGAGGGAAAGGCGAAAAGAACCCCGGCGAGGGGAGUGAAAAAGAACCUGAAACCGUGUACGUACAAGCAGUGGGAGCACCUUCGGGUGUGACUGCGUACCUUUUGUAUAAUGGGUCAGCGACUUAUAUUCUGUAGCAAGGUUAACCGUAUAGGGGAGCCGCAGGGAAACCGAGUCUUAACUGGGCGUUAAGUUGCAGGGUAUAGACCCGAAACCCGGUGAUCUAGCCAUGGGCAGGUUGAAGGUUGGGUAACACUAACUGGAGGACCGAACCGACUAAUGUUGAAAAAUUAGCGGAUGACUUGUGGCUGGGGGUGAAAGGCCAAUCAAACCGGGAGAUAGCUGGUUCUCCCCGAAAGCUAUUUAGGUAGCGCCUCGUGAAUUCAUCUUCGGGGGUAGAGCACUGUUUCGGCUAGGGGGUCAUCCCGACUUACCAACCCGAUGCAAACUACGAAUACCGAAGAAUGUUAUCACGGGAGACACACGGCGGGUGCUAACGUCCGUCGUGAAGAGGGAAACAACCCAGACCGCCAGCUAAGGUCCCAAAGUCAUGGUUAAGUGGGAAACGAUGUGGGAAGGCACAGACAGCCAGGAUGUUGGCUUAGAAGCAGCCAUCAUUUAAAGAAAGCGUAAUAGCUCACUGGUCGAGUCGGCCUGCGCGGAAGAUGUAACGGGGCUAAACCAUGCACCGAAGCUGCGGCAGCGACACUAUGUGUUGUUGGGUAGGGGAGCGUUCUGUAAGCCUGCGAAGGUGUGCUGUGAGGCAUGCUGGAGGUAUCAGAAGUGCGAAUGCUGACAUAAGUAACGAUAAAGCGGGUGAAAAGCCCGCUCGCCGGAAGACCAAGGGUUCCUGUCCAACGUUAAUCGGGGCAGGGUGAGUCGACCCCUAAGGCGAGGCCGAAAGGCGUAGUCGAUGGGAAACAGGUUAAUAUUCCUGUACUUGGUGUUACUGCGAAGGGGGGGACGGAGAAGGCUAUGUUAGCCGGGCGACGGUUGUCCCGGUUUAAGCAUGUAGGCUGGUUGUCCAGGCAAAUCCGGAUAAUCAAGGCUGAGGUGUGAUGACGAGGCACUACGGUGCUGAAGUAACAAAUGCCCUGCUUCCAGGAAAAGCCUCUAAGCAUCAGGUAACAUUAAAUCGUACCCCAAACCGACACAGGUGGUCAGGUAGAGAAUACCAAGGCGCUUGAGAGAACUCGGGUGAAGGAACUAGGCAAAAUGGUGCCGUAACUUCGGGAGAAGGCACGCUGGUGUGUAGGUGAAGUCCCUGCGGAUGGAGCUGAGACCAGUCGAAGAUACCAGCUGGCUGCAACUGUUUAUUAAAAACACAGCACUGUGCAAACACGAAAGUGGACGUAUACGGUGUGACGCCUGCCCGGUGCCGGAAGGUUAAUUGAUGGGGUUAUCCGUAAGGAGAAGCUCUUGAUCGAAGCCCCGGUAAACGGCGGCCGUAACUAUAACGGUCCUAAGGUAGCGAAAUUCCUUGUCGGGUAAGUUCCGACCUGCACGAAUGGCGUAAUGAUGGCCAGGCUGUCUCCACCCGAGACUCAGUGAAAUUGAACUCGCUGUGAAGAUGCAGUGUACCCGCGGCAAGACGGAAAGACCCCGUGAACCUUUACUAUAGCUUGACACUGAACAUUGAGCCUUGAUGUGUAGGAUAGGUGGGAGGCUUUGAAGCGUGGACGCCAGUCUGCGUGGAGCCAACCUUGAAAUACCACCCUUUAAUGUUUGAUGUUCUAACGUUGGCCCCUUACCGGGGUUGCGGACAGUGUCUGGUGGGUAGUUUGACUGGGGCGGUCUCCUCCCAAAGCGUAACGGAGGAGCACGAAGGUUAGCUAAUCCCUGGUCGGACAUCAGGAGGUUAGUGCAAUGGCAUAAGCUAGCUUGACUGCGAGCGUGACGGCGCGAGCAGGUGCGAAAAGCAGGUCAUAGUGAUCCGGUGGUUCUGAAUGGAAGGGCCAUCGCUCAACGGAUAAAAGGUACUCCGGGGAUAACAGGCUGAUACCGCCCAAGAGUUCAUAUCGACGGCGGUGUUUGGCACCUCGAUGUCGGCUCAUCACAUCCUGGGGCUGAAGUAGGUCCCAAGGGUAUGGCUGUUCGCCAUUUAAAGUGGUACGCGAGCUGGGUUUAGAACGUCGUGAGACAGUUCGGUCCCUAUCUGCCGUGGGCGCUGGAGAAUUGAGGGGGGCUGCUCCUAGUACGAGAGGACCGGAGUGGACGCAUCACUGGUGUUCGGGUUGUCAUGCCAAUGGCACUGCCCGGUAGCUAAAUGCGGAAGAGAUAAGUGCUGAAAGCAUCUAAGCACGAAACUUGCCCCGAGAUGAGUUCUCCCUGAGACUUUAAGUCUCCUGAAGGAACGUUGAAGACGACGACGUUGAUAGGCCGGGUGUGUAAGCGCAGCGAUGCGUUGAGCUAACCGGUACUAAUGAACCGUGAGGCUUAACCUUACAACGCCGAAG
rnacentral:rRNA from 1 species